UUGCUAUCUGCGAUAUGGAAGAUUCGAACCUGCCGCAGGUUCGGGUCGAACGCAGUGAGACAACGGAGCCGUUUACGGGGACGGCCCGUAGGGCGAGCGAAGCGAGUCAUCCUGCACGACCCACCA
rnacentral:sRNA from 1 species